UACGUAGGGAGCAAGCGUUGUCCGGAAUCAUUGGGCGUAAAGCGCGCGUAGGUGGCUUCGUAAGUCCGUUGUGAAAGUCAAAGGCUCAACCUUUGAAAGCCGAUGGAUACUGCGGAGCUAGAGUACGGAAGAGGCGAGUGGAAUUCCUGGUGUAGCGGUGGAAUGCGCAGAUAUCGAGGAGGACACCAAUAGCGAAGGCAGCUCGCUGG
rnacentral:rRNA from 1 species